AUAUCAAAUUAUUAGUUCUGUUUAACAAUGUAAAAAACAAAAUAAAAUCAAUUGCGAGCUAUAGGUUAAAAAUAUUAUUUCAAAUCACAAUUAAAUAAAAGCCAGUUGAAUUGAUCGGAGUGUGAUCGAGGUCACCCUAAAUCCUCGAUUCAAUUCGUUUCUUAAUUUUUCAUUGCACAGAACACGUUAGAAACGUAUUAGCGCGGAACGUCCCGCGAAUUCCGGAAUCCGAUCUAUCUAGGGUGCUUUCCAUUUAAUGACACAAGUCGACACAAGUGUCGUUCUAUCUUUGUUACUCAUUGAACAUAAAAAAAAGAUAGAACGAUGCUUGUGUCGACUUGUGUUACUAAAUGGAAAGCACCCCUACUCUAUCUGCAACUACAUGCACUUAUCGCAUUUGAAAGACAAAACAAACAUGCAUUCAGGUUUUGAACGACAAAUAAAAAUGAAAAACGCAAACUAGAAUGAAUGUCUACAUGAAAAAAAAUCCGCGUUUUUGUCUUUUAAUAGAAAUUCCAAGAAAAGUAUAUUUUACCUUUAUCCAGCAACUGUUGCAGUGUCGAUAGUUCAUUGCCUCUCUUUCUCUCUCUCUCUCCCACACUUUUGUUAACAAGAUGCAAAGUGCGGCCGAACCUAUCCUGUUAGGUUAUGUCUAGAGGUUAUGCGAGGGAUUAUCUCUAGUUUCAUCUCCGAAUUAAUGAGCGAUGGUAAAAGGUGCAUCGUAAAUUUAUGCGAAAUACGCGUGAAAGAGAAACUGGAAAAAUUGGCACGAGAUUGUCUUAGGUCUGUGAUUUAUUUUUUUCUCUUUUUUUUUACUCAGAUCUGGAUACAUCGAUUAGGCAAAGGACGAUCUCCGACCGCGAGCGUUAUCUGCCUUCCGUUCCGUGGGCGGAUUCUGAAACAGAUUUUUACAAUCUUUUUUUUUUCCUUUUUACACAGCGAUACCAGGAGACACGCACGGCGCCGAACGACCGACGAGACGACGGAGAAAACCUGCGGCGAUGGCAACGGCACAGCACUCGACGCAAACCGGAACCGGGAUUAACCACUGAAACUAGAACUCACUUUUCGACCGCACAUAAAACCGAGAGAGGAUUCCGAUUCUUUGAACUCUCGCCCGUAUGUGUGUGUAUGUGUGUGUGUGAAACCACUGUGUCUUUUUUUUCCUACAGUUUCUCAUUCUUUCUCUCACUCUUUCCUUUCCUUACAGGUCUCUUUCGCGGAUAUACUACUUCCAGUUGCACAAUUUUGUAUGCUCGAUAUGUCGCAGAGGCGAGACACAGCUGUUUCUUUUAUCGCGCGGAUAAAUUUUUGUUCCCUCGACAACGACGCGCUCGCAGAGAGUUGAUUCCUGAACGACCUGAGUGAAUUCACAAGCCACAGGAAAACACCAGGAACGUUUCACAACCCUUUUCCCGUCGACAAUAUAGCAAAUAAACGUACGAACGGUCUCCUGCCCCCUCCCCCUCCCUCCCACGCAAGAUUCUCAUCUAGGCACAAACACUUUGAAAUUUAACGACCUACAUUCAAAUCCGUUUUCUCAAUCCCCUUCCCGCGGAUUGUCAUUGCUAAAACGAUUGAUAUCACAGCACCAUGUAUUGUUGCACGACAAACUUCACUUAACGAAAGAAUCGCGUGAAUCUCAUUACAAAACUCGAAAGCAGUCUAAAUGACGAUCUCCCCGGCCACAUGCAUGCAUCAUAAUUUCGAGGAGUUGCGAAUACUUUAUAGUUGCGAUAACUUACUGGCCCUAUCCCGUCUGUAUCUGACAAAGCUCUUUUCUCUUUACAUAUUAAUCUCCUUCGUAUUAUCGCGGACAGGAGCAUUCAUUGGAGAACCGUGUGUCACUGUAACAAUCAACCCCGAGAAUUGUCGAAUUUGAUGAAGGUGAAGAACGGUAUCAAGAAAAUUGACACAUUUUGUAAUUUUUUUUCUCUCUACAUAAACUGCAUCUAUUUUUCUUUUCGUUCAAAAACACUAAGUUAUACUUAACCACUGCACCUUCAAUUCAAUUCGCAUUCAAGUGUGGUGGAGACACCCCUUCCUCUCCCUCCCCUCCCCCUGUGUCCAAAAGGAAUAUAAGAAUAUAUACCCUUUGGACACAUCCUCAGGUGGCUCUCCCCCAUACCGGAAUGCGGAGCACAAUUUCACUUUUCGUUUUCUUUACAUUUUCACUAGACACAUGCUCAGAGCUCAUUUUUCGUUUUGUUAAUACCACCAAACACUGUCCUUUAGAAGACGAAAGGAAACCAGUCCUCACUGAAAAAGAAAUAAACUGCUGUCGACAUUAUAAAAACACAGAUGCAAUAAACUUUUAUUUUUGCAGUAAACAGA
rnacentral:lncRNA from 1 species